rnacentral:rRNA from 1 species
UACAGAGGUGGCAAGCGUUGUUCGGAAUUACUGGGCGUAAAGGGCGCGUAGGCGGCCUUCUAAGUCGAGCGUGAAAUCCCCGGGCUUAACUCGGGAACUGCGUCUGAUACUGGAAGGCUGGAGUUCGGGAGAGGGAUGUGGAAUUCCAGGUGUAGCGGUGAAAUGCGUAGAUAUCUGGAGGAACACCGGUGGCGAAGGCGGCAUCCUGGACCGAAACUGACGCUGAGGCGCGAAAGCCAGGGGAGCAAACGGG